GACAGAGGGUGCAAACGUUGCUCGGAAUUACUGGGCGUAAAGCGCGUGUAGGCGGACCACCAAGUCGGACGUGAAAGCCCCGGGCUCAACCUGGGAAUGGCCGUUGAAACUGGCGAACUGGAGUGUGGCAGAGGGGGGUGGAAUUCCGCGUGUAGCAGUGAAAUGCGUAGAGAUGCGGAGGAACACCGAUGGCGAAGGCAGCCCCCUGGGCUAACACUGACGCUCAGGCACGAAAGCGUGGGGAGCAAACAGG
rnacentral:rRNA from 1 species